CCAAUGGGGAGAAAAAAAACAUAAGCACCCCAUGCGCAAUUUUUCCUUUUACUUCACUCUACUCACUUUUUCUUUAAAACCACUUGUUAAAAUGUUAGUGUCAAAAAUGUGUAAUAGCUAUAAACAUUGUGAUUCCUGCAUCACAUUGUUUUUUUUCUGUGUAUCUUUAUAUUCUGUCCCUAGGUCUACAGCUCCAAAGUAAAGCCAGUGUAUAAGUAUCAUGGCUACAGUGAAAAUACCCUGACAUCCAUAGACUUCCAUGGAUUUGUUUGACUACACUACCUUGUCAGACCUUCAGAGUUUCUGUUUGUUGAAUAAAACAUUUAUUUCUGACAGACAGCUUGUGACCAAUAAGCUACACUAAUAAGACUGUUAAAUUAUUGUGUUACUCAAAUGUUCGAUGACAUUUCAAGUAGCUGAUUUGUAGCAUUAGCUCCCCCAUCACCUGUGUUCCUGCAGCUCUACCCAUUUUGUCCAAAUAUGGUCACUUCGGGCUCCAAAGAGCCAACAUGAUGACAAACUAGAGAAGUCACAGUGUCUAUGAUCCGGCAUUACUAAAGAAAACACACAUAAAUGAAUACUUAAUUCAUUAGUUAAGCAACAUCAAUGCUAAAUAACCCAUGAUGCUCUGGAUAAAAUAUCAUAUUCACGAUGGGACUCAGUGAGACAAGCAACUCUGUAUUCGCAAUACUGUCCUGCCCUGUGUAACACUAAAGCUAUGAAUGUCGCUCACUGUUAACUCAUAAAUACAGUAGCAACAGAUGUAUGCAUGACUGAAUCCUUUUUUUCUUUCUCUU